ACGGCGAGUGAAGCGGGAAGAGCUCAAGCUUAAAAUCUCCGUGCAAGUUUUGCGCGGCGAAUUGUAGUCUAUAGAGGCGUGGUCAGCGUGGGCGCUUGGGGCAAGUUCCUUGGAAGAGGACAGCAUGGAGGGUGAUACUCCCGUUCAUCCCUGAGUGGCUCGUGCGUACGACCCGUUUUCUUUGAGUCGCGUUGUUUGGGAAUGCAGCGCAAAGUAGGUGGUAAAUUCCAUCUAAAGCUAAAUAUUGGUGCGAGACCGAUAGCGAACAAGUACCGUGAGGGAAAGAUGAAAAGAACUUUGAAAAGAGAGUUAAAGAGUACCUGAAACUGCUGAAAGGGAACCGAAUCGUUUCCAGUGUCUAUAAUCCGUGGCAUAUUUCAUUGGCGAGCGUUUGCGUGCGUGUGCUGUGGCAGUGGCUUUUUUGGCUGCGCCUGGCGUGUGUGCUGUGAGUGUUUGCUGGUGCCCUGUGCUGCGGUGGGACGUCAAGGUCAGUUCGUAUGCUGCGGGAAAUGGCUGCCGAGGAGGUAGGGCUUACGCUCCGCGUUUGUCUGUUAUAUCUUGGUGGACGAGUCGUCGUGGUUGGGACUGAGGUGCCUACAACGUGCUUUUGAGUGGGUUUGUGUCUCCGUGUGCGCCGUGUGCGGAUAGCUUGCUAUGCGUGUGUGGUUGUGUGUGGAUUGAUGCGGGCUUUAACUUGUCGCCGUUCGGGACGUUGACGA
rnacentral:rRNA from 1 species